rnacentral:tRNA from 1 species
GCGGGGGUUGCCAAGUCUGGUCAAAGGCGCAGGGUUUAGGACCCUGUCUCGUAGGAGUUCGCGAGUUCAAAUCUCGUCCCCCGCA